GCCAGAGUGGCGUAGUGGUUUGGGCAUUGGACUACAACUCUGGAGACCAGGGUUCAAUUCCCAUCUCAGCCA
rnacentral:tRNA from 1 species